rnacentral:rRNA from 1 species
UACCAGCACCCCGAGUGGUCGGGACGAUUAUUGGGCCUAAAGCAUCCGUAGCCGGUCCUGCAAGUCUUCCGUUAAAUCCAGUUGCUCAACAGAUGGGCUGCGGAGGAUACUACAGGGCUAGGAGGCGGGAGAGGCAAGCGGUACUUUAUGGGUAGGGGUAAAAUCCGUUGAUCCAUAGAAGACCACCAGUGGCGAAGGCGGCUUGCCAGAACGCGCUCGACGGUGAGGGAUGAAAGCUAGGGGAGCAAAGCGGG